GUUUUCAAAAUGAAGUUAAGUGGUGUUAUCUUCUUAGUUGUGCUUUUAACUCUUGUCCUGAUUUCUUCACAAGCAAGAAAUCUUCAAGCCUCUCUACAACCCCAAAUUAAUAGCCGAACUGACUAUCUUCAACGCGCAUGAAAUCAGGUCGUCCAAGCCACGUCGGAUCCGACCGAAGUUAGAUCUUGCGUUGGAGUCGGCCAUCCGAUGGUGUCUGAAAGUCAGGCGUCCAAAGUUAAGGACUUGGUUUGUCUUGGUCCUUGAGCCAUUCUCUUUUCUUUUUUCUUUACUUUUUUCUUUGCAAAGAUGACUUUUAGUUUUAUAUCUUGAGUUAUUUUUGUAAAGCUUCAUGAUAAAUCUUUAAUGGAGAAAUCCAUAUGGAGAAGACGACUGCACAGAAGUGUAAAAGUAGAGAGUUUUUGUUUUAUUAUAAGAAAAGUUUAUAUUCA